ensembl:lncRNA
CUGGCUUCUGGUUUGAGCUUUUGCUUGGCUAAAUUCUGCUUUUAUCUGAUUCUUUUUCAGAAAAUGCUUAUAGGUGUCAUAAGUUUCUUUAUGUUUGAGAAGGUCUGACUGCUUUCUUCACCCUUGAAUGACAAAGUCACCAGGAAGAACAUCAUGGACUCGAAUUGCUCAAUCAAGCUACCUCGAGGAACACAAUAAAUCCUGCUCCCUUUUGGCAAGAUCUGCCUCCUUUAAGAGACUGCAUUGUCCUCAAACACAUCAGAAAUUUUUAUUGACAUUGUUUGUGAGAACUUUUCUCUAUUGUUAUUAGAAAUUGUCCCUAAAUAUUAAAAAAUGAGUAUCCAAUGAAAUAUUGAAGUUUCAUUAGUCUGAAAGCAAAAUCUUUAAAAUUGUUGUUUAUUCAAUUGCACAAGAGAGACAAAAAUGAACCGACCAAUAGGCAGUCUAAUCAAUGGUUGAAAAGAUAUAAAUAGUGGUCCUAUUGGUAGGAUGGAGGUGGUUGGAAUUGACUGGGAGGGGCACAAUGGAAUCCUCUGGAGGGAUGCAAAGUUCUGUAUGGUGGUAGGGAUGUGGGUUAUACAGGUGCAUGCCUUUAUCAAAAUGUUAAAUGGUCUUCUUCAGAUUUGAACUUUUAACCACAAAUAAUAUAAUACAGAUAACAAAUAUUGAACUCAAGGUGAUGAUCUGCAUGCCGAAGUAUUUCAGAGUGAAAGAAAAUUAUGUCUGUAGGUUAUUUUGAAAUGCAUCAAAAAUGUUCAUUCAUACUGAUGGAUGAAUACAGUGAAUAGAAGGAAGGAUGGAUGAAGCACACAAGCAGGUAUAGAAAAAUGUAGAACCUGGGUGGUGGUUAUGUAAAUGUUCACCUUCUCAUUCUUUCAACAUUUCUGUGUUUGAAUAUUUUCAAAAUAUAAUAAACUGAAAGGAAAAAGAUAAACA